GCGCAACCAGCUACCGUAACACCUGUUAAAUGUAUCACUGUUAUAGCUCCGAAGGUCCAGAAAUUCAUGUGUGCUAUUGCGCAGCAACGCGGUGCAGUUUUGGAAGAGAAAGUCCGGUGAAAAAUAGAU